rnacentral:rRNA from 1 species
GAUGAACGCUGGCGGCGUGCCUAAUACAUGCAAGUCGAGCGAACGGACGAGAAGCUUGCUUCUCUGAUGUUAGCGGCGGACGGGUGAGUAACACGUGGAUAACCUACCUAUAAGACUGGGAUAACUUCGGGAAACCGGAGAUAAUACCGGAUGAUAUUUUGAACCGCAUGGUUCAAAAGUGAAAGACGGUCUUGCUGUCACUUAUAGAUGGAUCCGCGCUGCAUUAGCUAGUUGGUAAGGUAACGGCUUACCAAGGCAACGAUGCAUAGCCGACCUGAGAGGGUGAUCGGCCACACUGGAACUGAGACACGGUCCAGACUCCUACGGGAGGCAGCAGUAGGGAAUCUUCCGCAAUGGGCGAAAGCCUGACGGAGCAACGCCGCGUGAGUGAUGAAGGUCUUCGGAUCGUAAAACUCUGUUAUUAGGGAAGAACAUAUGUGUAAGUAACUGUGCACAUCUUGACGGUACCUAAUCAGAAAGCCACGGCUAACUACGUG